GAUGAACGCUGGCGGCGUGCCUAAUACAUGCAAGUCGAGCGAACGGACGAGAAGCUUGCUUCUCUGAUGUUAGCGGCGGACGGGUGAGUAACACGUGGAUAACCUACCUAUAAGACUGGGAUAACUUCGGGAAACCGGAGCUAAUACCGGAUAAUAUUUUGAACCGCAUGGUUCAAAAGUGAAAGACGGUCUUGCUGUCACUUAUAGAUGGAUCCGCGCUGCAUUAGCUAGUUGGUAAGGUAACAGCUUACCAAGGCAACGAUGCAUAGCCGACCUGAGAGGGUGAUCGGCCACACUGGAACUGAGACACGGUCCAGACUCCUACGGGAGGCAGCAGUAGGGAAUCUUCCGCAAUGGGUGAAAGCCUGACGGAGCAACGCCGCGUGAGUGAUGAAGGUCUUCGGAUCGUAAAACUCUGUUAUUAGGGAAGAACAUAUGUGUAAGUAACUGUGCACAUCUUGACGGUACCUAAUCAGAAAGCCACGGCUAACUACGUG
rnacentral:rRNA from 1 species